GACGAACGCUGGCGGCGUGCUUAACACAUGCAAGUCGAGCGGUAAGGCCCUUUCGGGGGGUACACGAGCGGCGAACGGGUGAGUAACACGUGGGUGACCUGCCCUCAGCUCUGGGAUAAGCCUGGGAAACUGGGUCUAAUACUGGAUAUGACUCCACGGUGCAUGUCGUGGGGUGGAAAGCCUUGUGCGGCUGAGGAUGGGCCCGCGGCCUAUCAGCUUGUUGGUGGGGNGAUGGCCUACCAAGGCGACGACGGGUAGCCGGCCUGAGAGGGCGACCGGCCACACUGGGACUGAGACACGGCCCAGACUCCUACGGGAGGCAGCAGUGGGGAAUCUUGCGCAAUGGGCGAAAGCCUGACGCAGCGACGCCGCGUGA
rnacentral:rRNA from 1 species